rnacentral:rRNA from 1 species
GAUGAACGCUGGCGGCGUGCCUAAUACAUGCAAGUCGAGCGAACAGAUAAGGAGCUUGCUCCUUUGACGUUAGCGGCGGACGGGUGAGUAACACGUGGGUAACCUACCUAUAAGACUGGGAUAACUUCGGGAAACCGGAGCUAAUACCGGAUAACAUUUGGAACCGCAUGGUUCUAAAGUGAAAGAUGGUUUUGCUAUCACUUCUAGAUGGACCCGCGCCGUAUUAGCUAGUUGGUAAGGUAACGGCUUACCAAGGCAACGAUACGUAGCCGACCUGAGAGGGUGAUCGGCCACACUGGAACUGAGACACGGUCCAGACUCCUACGGGAGGCAGCAGUAGGGAAUCUUCCGCAAUGGGCGAAAGCCUGACGGAGCAACGCCGCGUGAGUGAUGAAGGGAUUCGGCUCGUAAAACUCUGUUAUUAGGGAAGAACAAACGUGUAAGUAACUGUGCACGUCUUGACGGUACCUAAUCAGAAAGCCACGGCUAACUACGUG